rnacentral:rRNA from 1 species
UACGUAGGGUGCGAGCGUUGUUCGGAAUUAUUGGGCGUAAAGGGCGCGUAGGCGGUGCGGUAAGUCACCUGUGAAAUCUCCUGGCUCAACUGGGAGCUUGCAGGCGAAACUGCCGUGCUGGAGUGUGGGAGAGGUGCGUGGAAUUCCUGGUGUAGCGGUGAAAUGCGUAGAUAUCAGGAGGAACACCUGUGGCGAAAGCGGCGCACUGGACCACAACUGACGCUGAGGCGCGAAAGCUAGGGGAGCAAACAGG